UACUGUCUAUGGAACAUGUGUACUACUUUCUUUUCCAUCUAACAAGUGUAUCAUCUUUUACAAUAGAAAUUAAAAAAAUUCAGAGGCAAAUUUUGAAGUAUAAGGUUUUAUGACUUCUGAUGAGCAACAAAUGUAUUUGGAUUAGUUUACUUGAUUCUCUGAAGAAUGAGUUUGAUUCUGCUUAUGACAUUAGGCGAAUAAGUGAUAGGAUGAUUUAUAAGUUUUUUUUUCCCCAGACUAUGGAUAAGAGUCCUUUAAACAUCAAUUGUGAAGGUUGUAGUGCUUUUUACAUUGAUAUUACCUAAGGAAUUUCUUUAUUUUAUUCAGUUGGUA